rnacentral:lncRNA from 1 species
GGUUAUUCAUUUUGAAAUUUUAUUUUCCAAAACUUUGGAUGAUUUUAAAGUAAAAAAAUGUUAGCUGCAAAGUUGCAGAUAUCAUUGAGCACUAUGAUGUGUAUGCUUUCCUUGGAAUUUCCCCACGAAUAGUUCAGAAUUGAGUUCAUCUUCUUACAUGUGUUUCUCCUAGAAGUUUGAAGGAGUUCAUUUAAAAAAAAAGACUAGAGCCAAUACAACAGCCGAUUGAUUAUACUAAAAAGAAGAGCUUUAGAGUGGACAGUACAACAACACUAAACAACACUAAAGGGACGAGCAACGACAACAAAACGUCAACUAACCAAACAAAGCUAUCUUUCAACCGUAAGCCCGCAAGCAACUACACAACUAUCGACAACAGCAAGUGGAAUGGGAAUUCCACCAUAUCCCCACCCAACCCUCCCGGUUCCACCAUAUCUGACCACCUUGGUCCUUGGCAUCAACCUAGCAUCCCCAAACCUUGUAGAACCACAAACACCUCCGAUCC